rnacentral:sRNA from 1 species
GCAGAGGAGACAGCUGCUAGAGCGGAACCUGGAACUCCCGAACAGGGGGGUUCCAUUUAGGACAGAAAGGCGAGGAGCAGAGAAGAGCCUGGUGUCCUUUGUGCGCCAAAUCCUGCUUCACCACAACCAGGCUCUGUGCACAGGAAGCCAGGUGCAGGUGGGGAGGGCGCAUGGUGCUCUGAGCUGUGGCUGUGCAGGCCCAGCAGACAGACUUGCCUUGACUGCACACCCAGUGGGGACCUGGAGGUCACCGUGGACUUCCUCGCAGAGGUGGACAAGCUGGUGCAGCUGAUCGAGUGCCCCAUCUUCACGUAUCUGCGCCUGCAGCUGCUGGACGUGAAGAACAACCCCUACCUGAUCAAGGCCCUCUACGGCCUGCUCAUGCUCCUGCCGCAGAGCAGCGCCUUCCAGCUGCUCUCGCACCGGCUCCAGUGCGUGCCCAACCCUGAGCUGCUGCAGACCGAAGACAGUCUAAAGGCAGCCCCCAAGUCCCAGAAAGCCGACUCCCCUAGCAU